GUUGUUCCACCGGAAAAGAAGGAAAACUAAAGAAAACUGACAUGUUCGAUUCCGCACUCAAAAUACGUCAGGUAAGAUCAAAAUAUUUUUGUGUUAAAAAACAACUGUAGGAAAGUAAUGAAUCAUGGUAUAUUACCGUUGCGUUGAAUCUUUAAGUUAGGGAACUAAAAACGUGGUUUAUUCCGCUACGACAAAUCAAACAAAUGUUUCGAAGUCUACAGAUAUGGUAGGAUGAGGGAAGAUGGGACACCUUUAGCACAUAAUAUCCAAUUAUCCUUAUAGUUUUUUAAACAAUUAACAAUGGUCUGUGGGAGUUGUGAGGAUACAGUUUUAUAAUUCUUUGAAUGUUAUUUGUUUACUACCAAAUGGGACAAGAAAAUAGAAAGGAUUUCCCACCUUUACCCACUUUACCGUAUAUAUUUUUACAAUGCUGAUUGGCGAAGUUAUAACAACAAUUUAAAUAUUAAAUACAGACCAAACAUGAAAAAUUUGAAUACAAAUCCAUUAGAACCUUUUAAGGUUUCAAUGUGGAAACUAAUACCCGGACGUUACGCUUCGUGUUCUCACCUCUCGUGACUUCGUCCAACUCAACAACAAGUAGUUUACCAUCUGGAACGCCUCCUUCGUAUUUUGGAUAUGACUUUGCUCUGAGAAAAACCGGUAACAAUUUAAGUUUCACAGUGGGUGCACC